rnacentral:snRNA from 1 species
GUGCUUGCUUCAGGAGCACAUAUACUAAAAUUGAAAUGAUACCGAAAAGAUUAUCAUGACCCCUGCAGAAGGAUGACAUGCAAAUUCGUGAAGAGUUCCAUAUGUUU